rnacentral:rRNA from 1 species
CCUACGGGGAGCAGCAGUGGGGAAUAUUGCACAAUGGGGGAAACCCUGAUGCAGCGACGCCGCGUGAGUGAAGAAGCGUUUCGGCGCGUAAAGCUCUGUCAGCGGGGAAGAAACACGGUUCGCGAGAGCCGCGGACGGUACCCGACCAAGAAGCCCCGGCUAACUACGUGCCAGCAGCCGCGGUAAUACGUAGGGGGCAAGCGUUAUCCGGAUUUACUGGGUGUAAAGGGAGCGUAGACGGCGAUGCAAGUCUGAAGUGAAAGGCGGGGGCCCAACCUCCGGACUGCUUUGGAAACUGUAUGGCUGGAGUGCAGGAGAGGUAAGUGGAAUUCCUAGUGUAGCGGUGAAAUGCGUAGAUAUUAGGAGGAACACCAGUGGCGAAGGCGGCUUACUGGACUGUAACUGACGUUGAGGCUCGAAAGCGUGGGGAGCAAACAGGAUUAGAUACCCCUGUAGUC